GAUGAACGCUAGCGGCAGGCUCAACACAUGCAAGUCGAGGGGUAUAGGUUUUCGGACCUAGAGACCGGCGCACGGGUGCGUAACGCGUAUGCAAUCUACCUUUCACAGAGGGAUAGCCCAGAGAAAUUUGGAUUAAUACCUCAUAGUAUAGCAGUUUCGCAUGAAACCACUAUUAAAGUAUCAACGGUGAAAGAUGAGCAUGCGUCCCAUUAGCUAGAUGGUAAGGUAACGGCUUACCAUGGCUACGAUGGGUAGGGGUCCUGAGAGGGAGAUCCCCCACACUGGUACUGAGACACGGACCAGACUCCUACGGGAGGCAGCAGUGAGGAAUUUUUCGCAAUGGGGGAAACCCUGACGAAGCAACGCCGCGUGGAGGAUGAAGGCCUUCGGGUCGUAAACUCCUGUCGACCGGGAAGAAUGCGCACGACCUAACACGUCGCUGCGUUGACUGUACCGGUGGAGGAAGCCACGGCUAACUCUGUGCCAGCAGCCGCCGUAACAC
rnacentral:rRNA from 1 species